GAGGAUUCAAGCGUUAUCCGGAUUUAUUGGGUUUAAAGGGUGCGUAGGCGGUUUUGUAAGUUAGAGGUGAAAUUCCGGGGCUUAACUCCGGCACUGCCUCUAAUACUGCGAGGCUAGAGAGUAGAUGCGGUAGGCGGAAUGUGUGGUGUAGCGGUGAAAUGCUUAGAGAUCACACAGAACACCGAUUGCGAAAGCAGCUUACCAAUCUAUGUCUGACGUUGAGGCACGAAAGCGUGGGGAGCAAA
rnacentral:rRNA from 1 species